rnacentral:rRNA from 1 species
GACGAACGCUGGCGGCGUGCUUAACACAUGCAAGUCGAACGGAAAGGCCCUGCUUUUGUGGGGUGCUCGAGUGGCGAACGGGUGAGUAACACGUGAGUAACCUGCCCUUGACUUUGGGAUAACUUCAGGAAACUGGGGCUAAUACCGGAUAGGAGCUCCUGCUGCAUGGUGGGGGUUGGAAAGUUUCGGCGGUUGGGGAUGGACUCGCGGCUUAUCAGCUUGUUGGUGGGGUAGUGGCUUACCAAGGCUUUGACGGGUAGCCGGCCUGAGAGGGUGACCGGCAACAUUGGGCCUGGGAUACGGCCAAGACUCUUCCGGGGGGAAGCAGUGGGGAAUAUUGAACAAGGGGCGAAGGCCGGAGGCAGCAACGCGGGGGGCGGGAGAACGGCCUCGGGUUGUAAACCGCUUUCGCCUGUGACGAAGCGUGAGUGACGGUAAUGGGUAAAGAAGCACCGGCUAACUACGUG